rnacentral:rRNA from 1 species
AGUGAACGCUGGCGGCAGGCCUAAUACAUGCAAGUCGAACGGCAGCACAGUGGAGCUUGCUCCAUGGGUGGCGAGUGGCGGACGGGUGAGGAAUACAUGGGAAUCUGCCCAGUCGUGGGGGAUAACGUAGGGAAACUUACGCUAAUACCGCAUGCGCCCUUCGGGGGAAAGCCGGGGACCUUCGGGCCUGGCGCGAUUGGAUGAGCCCACGUUCGAUUAGCUAGUUGGCGGGGUAAAGGCCCACCAAGGCGACGAUCGAUAGCUGGUCUGAGAGGAUGAUCAGCCACACUGGGACUGAGACACGGCCCAGACUCCUACGGGAGGCAGCAGUAGGGAAUAUUGGACAAUGGGCGCAAGCCUGAUCCAGCCAUGCCGCGUGAGUGAAGAAGGCCCUCGGGUUGUAAAGCUCUUUUGUCCGGGAAGAAAAGCAUCGGGCUAAUACCUCGGUGUUCUGACGGUACCGGAAGAAUAAGCACCGGCUAACUUCGUG